GUUCCUUAGAGGACAUUCCAUAAACUUGGAACGAUACAUAAAAGAUUAGCAUAUGGCUCCUGUGUAAAGAUGAUUUGCUUAAAUGUUCAAGUUUCAUUUUGAUU